CCUACGGGAUGCAGCAGUGGGGAAUAUUGCACAAUGGGCGCAAGCCUGAUGCAGCCAUGCCGCGUGUAUGAAGAAGGCCUUAGGGUUGUAAAGUACUUUCAGCUGGGAGGGAGGCGUUGAUGCUAAUAUCAUCAACGAUUGACGUUACCAACAGAAGAAGCACCGGCUAACUCCGUGCCGGCAGCCGCGGUAAUACGGAGGGUGCAAGCGUUAAUCGGGAUUACUGGGCGUAAAGCGCACGCAGGCGGUUGAUUAAGUUAGAUGUGAAAUCCCCGGGCUUAACCUGGGAAUGGCAUCUAAGACUGGUCAGCUAGAGUCUUGUAGAGGGGGGUAGAAUUCCAUGUGUAGCGGUGAAAUGCGUAGAGAUGUGGAGGAAUACCGGUGGCGAAGGCGGCCCCCUGGACAAAGACUGACGCUCAGGUGCGAAAGCGUGGGGAGCAAACAGGAUUAGAUACCCCGGUAGUC
rnacentral:rRNA from 1 species